rnacentral:lncRNA from 1 species
AAAAAAAAAACUUUUUUUUGAUUUGUACUUUCUUUCAUUACCUUAUUUUCAGUAUUAUACUGAAAUAAUUUUUUAUUUUACAUAAAUUGAAAGUGAAAAUACAUAACUUACAAGAUGCUUUUACUUUGCUUAUUCCUUUCCCUAUUUCUUCUUACCUCGGAACCUCCUCCUUCGCAUAUGUAUCACCAACUGGAGGCUCUUAUGAAGCUAUCCAAUACCUAUUCUACUACUAGCAAGCCUUCAAUAUGCUGCCUAGUUGUUCAAUGGCCCACUCUCAUGUCAUUCC